UACAUGAGAUGCUUGUAGAAAAGUCUAGAUGAAUUAAUCCUAGUCACAUGUUAAGGAGGUGAAAGCCUAUAUAAAGGCCACCUCACAUACUUGUAAAGAGGGUUGGGAAAAUAAACAAAAGCUCUCCAUACUUUCAAGCUAUAUAGGCUUACUUAGUUUGACUUUGAUAAGGAAGUUAAAUAAGUGUCGUGCGACUUGGCUAACCUCUAAGCCUAAGUUCGUGACACUCGCUCUGUAUACAUUAGCAUUGGAUAACAUCAUAGGAUUUCGGUCCUAUUCUGUUGGCCUUUGGGAUCGGAGUAAUGAUUAACAGGGACAGUGGGGGGCAUUUGUAUUUCAUAGUGAGAGGUGAAAUUCUUGGAUUUAUGAAAGAUGAACAACUGCAAAAGCAUUUGCCAAGGAUGUUUUCAUUAAUCAAGAACGAAAGUUGGGGGCUCGAAGACGAUCAGAUACCGUCCUAGUCUCAACCAUAAAUGAUGCCGACUAAGGAUCGUCGGAUGUCGCUUUUAGGACUCCGCUGACACCUUAUAAGAAAUCAAAGUCUUUGGGUUUCGGGGCACCACCAGGAGUGGAGCCUGCGGCUUAAUUUGACUCAACAUGGGGAAACUUACCAGGUCCAGACAUAGUAAGGAUUGACAGACUGAGAGCUCUUUCUUGAUUCUCUGGGUGGUGGUGCAUGGCCGUUCUUAGUUGGUGGAGCAAUUUUUUUGGUUAAUUUCGUUAACAAACGAGACCUCAGCCUGCUAACUAGCUAUGCAAAGGUAUCCCUCUGCGGCUAGCUUCUUAGAGGGACUAUGGCCUUCUAGGCCAAGGAAGUUUGAGGCAAUAACAGGUCUAUGAUGCCCUUAGAUGUUCUGGGCUGCACGCGCGCUACACUGAUGUAUUCAAUGAGUCUAUAGCCUUGGCCGAAAGGCCCAGGUAAUCUUUGAAAUUUCAUCGUGAUGGGGACAGACCAUUGCAAUUGUUGGUCUUCAAUGAGGAAUUCCUAGUAAGCGCGAGUCAUUAGCUCGUGUUGACUACGUCCUUGCCCUUUGUACACACCGCCCGUCACGGUGACAUGGGCAGUUCGACGCCGAUGACGUCGCGAGAAGUCCACUGAACCUUAUCAUUUAUAGGAAGGAGAAGUCGUAACAAGGUUUCCGUAGGUGAACCUGUGAAAGGAUCAUUG
rnacentral:ncRNA from 1 species